rnacentral:lncRNA from 9 species
GUAAAUUACAUCUACCGCUGGAAACAGGCAUGCCUCUUUAUCUGCCAUGCUGUUUGUGUGGAUGUUUGACUUAUUUUCUUUAGGAGUUGAAAUAUCUUGGGGUUUUGUCGUUGCUAUCAUUACCUCUAGUGCAUGACUGAGUUCAAAGGUCUUUAACAGUAGUCCUCUGUUACAUUGUAGCUAGGGUGGGGGCUGAAAGACCAGAGAGAUUUUGUCAGUAUCUCUUCUCUGCCCUCAGUUUUCAACUAUCUCUACAUGCCUGAAUCACAUGUGGGAAUCCUCCCAAGCACCUUCUCUUCUCCCAUCAGUAGAUAUAUCUUGCUUAUUGCUCAGUACUAGGUUCAUGGUGGGGUCAGGUGGGUCCUGGUCCAAUCUAAGAUUUCUUAGUGUUCUUGCCUAUCCUGUCCAUGGCAGAAAAUCUUUGCCUUUAUUUAUGGGUGAUUUUGAGAGGGAGAGUGUUUAUCAUUACUCCACCAAUGAUGGCAGACCUUUACUUAGUCUAGUGAUAAUUUCUUGUCCUUCCUCCAGAGAUAGAUAAUUUAUCUCUCUCUCUUUUUUUUUUUCCCACAGCAAUGCCAGAUCUGAGCACGUCUGUGACCUACACUGCUGCUCACUGAAACACUGGAUCCCUGACCCAUUGAACAAGGCCAGGGAUCAAACCAGCAUCCUCAUGGAUAAUAGUUGGAUUCACUUCUGCUGCCCCACAACAGGAACUCCCAUUUUAUAUCUUUUUUUUUUAAGCAGCAAUGCUUUUUCUAAGCAUUUCUCUCCAAGGAUACCAAUGGGUCUUACAGAUGGAAAGGUCUCUGAUUUCUCCCCAAGAGUUCUGCUGAAUGGAGCUUCUGGCAAAAGUCUGCUACUGCCACCCAGCGGCGACAGCAGGGAUUUUUGGACUAGGACUCGUGGACAGAAACAUAAGAGACUGCACAGAGCCAACGGGCCUCAGACCAAGGUGACGUGGGCCCAUCCGUAGCUAGCAGGUAAGUUUAUGCUUUGGUAGAUACCAGUGGGUCUUCACUGUGAUAGAUAUUCAUUCUGGAUCUAGGCCUGCAUAUCGGAUAGCUGAAGCAAAUGCCCCUAACCCAAUAAAGGCUAGAACAGAAAGUAUAGUUUCAAUCUGGACUUCUUGCUUAUACAUCGCCUUAGCAAAGAACCAGUUUUAUUGCAGGUGCCCUGCAAUGUGAACUAAAAAGCAUCAUAUACAAGGAAGUUCACCCCUACAAAGUAGUAGGCAGACUCAAAAAUUGGAAUGAGCGGUUGAAACACCAGCUUACUAAGUUGAGAAUGAGGAGAUGGCUUCCAUGAUUGGAUAAAUGGAUGUUAAAAUCUGAUAUGUGGAGAAGUGAAUUUUCCUAUCACCCAAUUGAGAUUUCUUUUUUAAAUGUAUUUUUUAAUUGAGGUAUUGAUGAUUUACAAUGUUGUGUUUGUUUUAGGUGUACAGCAAAGUGAUUUAAUUGCACACACACUUAUAUAAAGUUAUUUUUUUCAGAUUCUUUUCCAUUUGAGGUUAUUACAAGAGGUCAGAUAUAGUUCCCUGUGCUAUACAGUAGGUCCUUGCUGUUCAUCUAUUUUAUAUAUAGUAGUAUGAGCCUAUUAAUCCCAAAUCCCUAAUUUAGUCCUUACUGCCCUCCCCCUUUGCUAACCAUCAGUUUGUUUUUAUGUCUGUGAGUCAAUUUCUGUUUUGUAAAUAAGUUCAUUUGUGUUUCUUCCUAUCCUUCAGGAUGUUGUUGUCAUUUAUUAUGACACUUAUCCAUAUACUAGCCUCGACUAGUAACAUUGGUGUCGUUACCAUUUUAAACAGGUAUCUUUGGG